CAGGAAAGUCCUAUGUGUAUAUAUAUCCUCUUAGGAACAACUAAAGUUGUGACAAGGUUUACAGAAAUAUCACGCUGUAACUCCAGUAGUUAGUUUCAGUGGCGCACUUCAUGUCAUCUCUCACUUACACUGUGAUGAGGUAUACACUUAAAUAAUCAGUAAAUGUUGUACUUUAUCAACCAACUAGUAGUGUUACUAGUACAGAAUUAGGCUUAU
rnacentral:RNase_P_RNA from 1 species